UACAGAGGUCUCGAGCGUUAGGCGGAAUCACUGGGCUUAAAGCGUGUGUAGGCGGAUUGGUAAGUACCUUGUGAAAUCCCACGGCUCAACCGUGGAACUGCUCGGUAUAUUGCCUGUCUUGAGCAACCUAGGGGCGAGCGGAACAGAUGGUGGAGCGGUGAAAUGCGUAGAUAUCAUCUGGAACGCCAAUGGUGAAAACAGCUCGCUGGGGGUUUGCAGACGCUGAGACACGAAAGCCAGGGGAGCGAACGGG
rnacentral:rRNA from 1 species